AGAGGAAGAGAGAGAGAUUAGUGU
rnacentral:snRNA from 1 species